CAAGUCGAACGAAUCCCGGGGGCAACUCCGGGGGAAGUGGCGAAAGGGGCAGUAAGGCGUGGGUAACCUACCCCGGGGCCCGGGAUAGCCAUCCUAACGGAUGGGUAAUACCGGACGUGUUCGCGAGGGGACAUCUCCUUGCGAGGAAAGCUCCGGCACCCCGGGAGGGGCUCACGUGAUAUUAGCUAGUUGGCGGGGUAACGGCCCACCAAGGCCAAGAUGUCUAGCAGGUGUGAAAGCACGACCUGCGCCACUGGCACUGGGACACUGGCCAGACUCCUACGGGAGGCUGCAGUCGAGGAUCUUCGGCAAUGGGCGCAAGCCUGACCGAGCGACGCCGCGUGUGCGAUGAAGGCCUUCGGGUCGUAAAGCACUGUCGUGGGGGAGAAAAGGCGCAAGCCCUGAUCGACCCCAGGAGGAAGCACGGGCUAAGUUCGUGCCAGCAGCCGCGGUAAGACGAACCGUGCAAACGUUAUUCGGAAUCACUGGGCUUAAAGGGCGCGUAGGCGGGCCGCCAGGUCCGGGGUGAAAGCCUCCAGCUCAACUGGAGAAGUGCCUUGGAUACCGGCGGCCUCGAGGGAGGCAGGGGCGUGCGGAACUUCGGGUGGAGCGGUGAAAUGCGUAGAUAUCCGAAGGAACACCGGUGGCGAAAGCGGCGCGCUGGACCUCUUCUGACGCUGAGGCGCGAAAGCCAGGGGAGCAAACGGGAUUAGAUACCCCGGUAGUCCUGGCCCUAAACGUUGGGUACUAGGUAGCGGCCUUACAUGGGGUCGCUGCCGAAGCAAAAGUGUUAAGUACCCCGCCUGGGGAGUAUGGUCGCAAGGCUGAAACUCAA
rnacentral:rRNA from 1 species